rnacentral:lncRNA from 1 species
UCCAUCUGGACAUGGUACAAAACGUUAAUACUACAUGCUUCCUGACAUGUGUAAGGGUUGUAAAAGGAAUUCUCCUUUUCUGUUUGUGCAAACAGUGUGGAAUAGCCUCUGGAGAACAACCCGAGGGUCAUCAAAUGUUAGACUGAGAAUUCGUGGACAUGACAAUUCUACAGAUGCCAAGAAUGGACCUGAAAAGAUGUUUCAGAGGUUAAAAGUGCUUGCUGCUAAUUCAGAGGACCGGAGUUUGUUUCCCAGAGCCACAUUAGGCAGCCCACAUCUACCUACAACACUAGCUCCUAGAGACCCAACACCCUCUUCUAGAAUCUGCACAUGUCUGCAGGUACCUGCAGGCACAUACAGAGACAUACAUACACAUAAAUAAAAAAU